CUAUGUGUCUUUUUAUAAAGUUGUUGAUCUUAGGAACACUUCUAGAGUUAUUUCUCUUGAAUAUAGAAGCAAAGAAAUAUGGAAUACCCUGCUUAGACGCAGCCGUUUGCUUGCACAGAAGGAGACGACGAGUUUGUGGUUUGGAACGAGAGACCAAUGAAGUGCGCUGGUUUUUAGACAAAUGCGACCUUUUAGAGUUCAACUGUCAAUAUAAAGCAAAAUUUCGUAAAGCAAGGAGGAGGAAUUGUAGGCAGAUCCCCCCACUCUAAGCAAUGUUUAAUAAUUAAAAUAAAACUAACAAUGGCUUAGAGUUAACUUUUAUUU